AUUUAGACAUAUAUAAAAGUCCUUUCCCCGUGGAAACAUGGUGUGGAAUGGUUGCAAACAGCAGUCUCCUUGGUAGUAUAUGUAGCCUGUUGCCUAUAUGGGAUGCCCUGAAGGACCUUGGAGACAACU